GGCAUGGUGUGGGAACCACUGGUCUAGAUGGUCUGGUUUUUCCAAACAGGGAUAUUUAAGUCCUCUAAAAUCUUAAUGGAACACUCCAAACAUCAUAACCACUCCAGCCCGCUUUGCAUUACAACUACAGUGAACUGCAGUGGUCAAGGUGCUUGGAGUAUUGAUUUAAAGCGGAAUUUGCAGAUCUCUGACAGUGAUAUCGCUGUUGGGGUGGGAGGGGGCAGUAAAGGUGAGUUCUACUUAUCUUAACCUGUCCCUUGUGGGUGGGGCCACCUUAUGGUGGGUACUCUUCAGCUCCUUGUCCAUGCGCGAGAGUACAACAUUGAGAUCUAUUUAGGAUCCUCCAGAGACAGAGCCAAUUCCAUGGGAACAGACACUUCUAGAUGUUGGUAGCUCCACCCAAUGUCUAGAAGUUUCAGGGGGAAGGAAUGUACAGAGACAAAGUAGUCCGUUAGCUAAUCACACCCAGACAAUAAACUAAGCCCUGCAUCACCAGGCAUAUCUUAGACACAGAGCUUCCUGCUAGGCAGCGAGUGGUAUUAAGGUGAACCUAGGCAUAAAUGGUUUGCCUACUUACACUGUGAGUGGUAUCAGGGAACUCUUAGCACAAUAACCACUACAUCAGACAAACACCAUGCUGUAUUAACUCCACACUGUGCUAAAUUAAGUUCACACCUGCUUCUUUAUUAAGCCUUUAUCCACUGCAUUAGAGCCGUGCUUCUACAGCAAUACCACCACACUGUGUUUUAUAAUAAACUUCAAAUUAACAGUCAUAAAUUAAUUGGAGGUGUUAUCUCCUUCUCAAAAAUGACUGGGAUUUGGACUAAUAUAAAUCAAUCCUGUGGUUUUUCUGGCCCCCACAGGGUGAAACUAUAUGGGAAUCUGGAGUGCAGAGCGUGAGCUCCACUUCAAAAUAUACCCUGAUGAUGUCAGCUGACAUGUUUAGCCAAUGAAUGCAGGCGAAAUGUGGAUAAAAUUCACAUUACUAAUGUGGAGCCGUAACUUCUACAACAACAAUACACUGAACGAGAGCUCAAGCCACACGUGCCGAGAGCUAACAAACAGUUUGAGAGAAUUGGGGAAAUGUGCCAG